UACGUAGGGUGCAAGCGUUGUCCGGAAUUAUUGGGCGUAAAGAGCUCGUAGGCGGUUUGUCGCGUCUGCUGUGAAAACUCGGGGCUUAACCCCGGGCCUGCAGUCGAUACGGGCAAACUAGAGGUAGGUAGGGGAGACUGGAAUUCCUGGUGUAGCGGUGAAAUGCGCAGAUAUCAGGAGGAACACCGGUGGCGAAGGCGGGUCUCUGGGCCGAAACUGACGCUGAGGCACGAAAGCGUGGGGGAGCAAACAGG
rnacentral:rRNA from 1 species